rnacentral:misc_RNA from 1 species
CAACAAUGGAGAGGGAGAACUUCUCACAAUCGGACUAGGAAACGGAACCCCCAAGGGUUGUCGAACAGGAUUCAAACCUUAUAAAAGAUGUUCGGUGGAAGCAAAGGAAAAGAGAAUGACAACAUCCAGCAACCACUGUGAGGAGGGAGGUCAAAAAAGACUACGCCUGGAGCAGAAAGCCACAAAUUGACAGUUGAUUCGCAUGCAAACGAGCAAAGGAAACCUUUGUCUGCUGCAUGUAUAUCUAACCUUCCUCAUCUCGUCAAUCUAUCUUUUCUACUUUAAUUCUUCACGUGUGUACUAUAAAAUGCCUACAUUAUGUGAUUGGUACAUUCGAACUUAUACAACUGAACUCAAGAUUACCCCUGAAUUAGCCUUUUUGUAAG